AAAUGUACUUAACAAAUAACUGUGACAUUUGUCACCCCAUUGAUCGCCAGGGUUGAUUCAGCUCAUCUGGUUGGCUAGGAGGAUGUCCCCUUGCUCCCUCACUGCUCCAUGUAGGUCCCUCCUGAAGCUAUGCAGUCAGUCGAAGAGGAUGGCCUUCCCCAAUAGAGAGGGACUGGUCUUUGGUUGAGGAUAUACAAGUAGUUGUGCACCCCUGCUAAAACCUCCAAACAAGUUCUCAAAACCCAAUACAAACUUAGUUAUUAAUGAACAUCAGUGAUUUACAACACAGCUUCUACUGAAAUACUAGUUCUGGACUGGUCACACACCAUAAUUA
ensembl:misc_RNA 7SK 7SK RNA